rnacentral:rRNA from 1 species
UACGGAGGGUGCAAACGUUGCUCGGAAUUAUUGGGCGUAAAGCGCACGUAGGCGGUCCAGCAAGUCGGGUGUGAAAGCCCUCGGCUUAACCGAGGAAGUGCAUUCGAAAACUACUGGACUUGAAUACUGAAGAGGAUCGCGGAAUUCCCGGUGUAGAGGUGAAAUUCGUAGAUAUCGGGAGGAACACCAGUGGCGAAGGCGGCGAUCUGGGCAGAUAUUGACGCUGAUGUGCGAAAGCGUGGGGAGCAAACAGG